CUGGUGGCUUGUUGGAGAUAUAUAUGUGCAAAUCAAUGUAUCGUUCAAGAGAUGGCGGUUUGAGGUAAAGAAAAAAUAUUUUGUCCAAAUAACAGAAGAUUGGGAGCGAUACUGGCAUCUUGACGUCUGUGUGGAUGGAGUAGAUUUUUUUGCACUUUGCAGUUACUGGGACACGGCUGAAAUUCAGGGAAGGGGAGAUCUCAGACAUUUUG